rnacentral:rRNA from 1 species
AGGACGAACGCUUGCGACGUGCCUAAGAAAUGCAAGUCGAACGGACCAGCAGCAAUGCUGGUUAGUGGCGAACGGUCGCGUAACACGUGGGCAACCUGCCCUGAAGCGGGGGACAACAACUCGAAAGAGUUGCUAAUACCGCAUGUGUAUCGCUGUGGCAUCACAGAGGAUACAAAGCCGCAAGGCACUUCAGGAUGGGCCCGCGGCCUAUCAGCUUGUUGGUGAGGUAACGGCUCACCAAGGCUUCGACGGGUAGCUGGUCUGAGAGGACGAUCAGCCGGAUUGGGACUGAGAUACGGCCCAGACUCCUACGGGGGGGCAGGCAAUUAGGAAUCUUGCACAAUGGGCGAAAGCCUGAUGCAGCGACGUCGCGUGAAGGAUGAAAUCUUUCGGGAUGUAAACUUCUUUUACCAGGAAGAAUAAAUGACGGUACCUGGUGAAUAAGCCCGGCUAACUACGUGCCAGCAGCCGCGGU